rnacentral:rRNA from 1 species
GGUCCCGCCUGCCCUGUGACUAUAUGUUUAACGGCCGCGGUAUUUUGACCGUGCGAAGGUAGCGCAAUCACUUGUCUUUUAAAUGGAGACCUGUAUGAAAGGCAUCACGAGGGCUUAGCUGUCUCCCCUUUAAAGUCAAUGAAAUUGAUCUCCCCGUGCAGAAGCGGGGAUAUGCUCGUAAGACGAGAAGACCCUAUGGAGCUUAAGAUAAAAGGCGAGUCAUGUCAAACACCCCCUCAAAGGAAGUUGAACGAAAUGAUACCCGCUGGAAUGUCUUCGGUUGGGGCGACCGCGGGGAAAGACAAAACCCCCACAUGGACCAGGGCCACUAUAGCCCUAAAACCUAGACCCACAGGUCAAGUCAACAGUAAAUCUGACUACCAAAGAGCCGGCAAUGCCGAUCAACGGACCGAGUUACCCUAGGGAUAACAGCGCAAUCCCCUCCCAGAGCCCUUAUCGACGAGGGGGUUUACGACCUCGAUGUUGGAUCAGGACAUCCUAAUGGUGCAGCCGCUAUUAAGGGUUCGUUUGUUCAACGAUUAAAGUCC